rnacentral:rRNA from 1 species
GCGUGAGUGACGACGGCCUUAGGGUUGUAAAGCUCUUUUGGCGGGGACGAUAAUGACGGUACCCGCAGAAUAAGCCCCGGCUAACUUCGUGCCAGCAGCCGCGGUAAUACGAAGGGGGCUAGCGUUGUUCGGAAUCACUGGGCGUAAAGCGCACGUAGGCGGACUGGUCAGUUGGGGGUGAAAUCCCGGGGCUCAACCUCGGAACUGCCUUCAAUACUGCCAGUCUCGAGUCCGGAAGAGGUGAGUGGAAUUCCUAGUGUAGAGGUGAAAUUCGU